UUGGAUUUAGUUUAAUUUAAAAUUUUUAUUUUUGGUGUAAAAGAUGUAGAUCUAAG
rnacentral:tRNA from 1 species